UACGUAGGGUGCAAGCGUUUGUCCGGAAUUAUUGGGCGUAAAGAGCUCGUAGGCGGUCUGUCGCGUCUGGUGUGAAAACUUAAAGGCCUCAACCUUAAGCUUGGCAUCGGGUACGGGCAGACUGGAGUACUGUAGGGGAGACUGGAAUUCCUGGUGUAGCGGUGGAAUGCGCAGAUAUCAGGAGGAACACCGAUGGCGAAGGCAGGUCUCUGGGCAGUUACUGACGCUGAGGAGCGAAAGCAUGGGGGAGCGAACAGG
rnacentral:rRNA from 1 species